rnacentral:rRNA from 1 species
GAUGAACGCUGGCGGCGUGCCUAAUACAUGCAAGUCGAGCGAACGGACGAGAAGCUUGCUUCUCUGAUGUUAGCGGCGGACGGGUGAGUAAAACGUGGAGAACCUACCUAUAAGACUGGGAUAACUUCGGGAAACCGGAGCUAAUACCGGCUAAUAUUUUGAACCGCAUGGUUCAAAAGUGAAAGACGGUCUUGCUGUCACUUAUAGAUGGAUCCGCGCUGCAUUAGCUAGUUGGUAAGGUAACGGCUUACCAAGGCAACGAUGCAUAGCCGACCUGAGAGGGUGAUCGGCCACACUGGAACUGAGACACGGUCCAGACUCCUACGGGAGGCAGCAGUAGGGAAUCUUGCGCAAUGGGCGAAAGCCUGACGGAGCAACGCCGCGUGAGUGAUGAAGGUCUUCGGAUCGUAAAACUCUGUUAUCAGGGAAGAAGAUAGGUGUAAGUAACUGUGCACAUCUUGACGGUACCUAAUCAGAAAGCCACGGCUAACUACGUG